AUUGAACGCUGGCGGCAGGCCUAACACAUGCAAGUCGAACGAGUGGCGGACGGGUGAGUAAUGUCUGGGGAACUGCCUGAUGGAGGGGGAUAACUACUGGAAACGGUAGCUAAUACCGCAUACCAUCAGAUGUGCCCAGAUGGGAUUAGCUAGUAGGUUGGGUAAAGGCUCACCAAGGCGACGAUCCCUAGCUGGUCUGAGAGGAUGACCAGCCACAUUGGAACGGAGACACGGUCCAGACUCCUACGGGAGGCAGCAGUGGGGAAUAUUGCACAAUGGGCGCAAGCCUGAUGCAGCCAUGCCGCGUGUAUGAAGAAGGCCUUAGGGUUGUAAAGUACUUUCAGCGGGGAGGCGUUACCCGCAGAAGAAGCACCGGCUAACUCCGUGCCAGCAGCCGCGGUAAUUC
rnacentral:rRNA from 1 species